CACCAGCAAGAGAAUCCUGGUUCCCAAGGUGAUUGCUGCAGGCUGUCUUGAGGCAUUGCUUUCUUCUGAGUUUCCAAUUUUAAGUACCUGAAAUGACGUGAAGAUAGUUGUUCUGUUGGUCAGCUGCUUCCAGAUAUUGGUCAUGGGUCACUAGAAGAUGAUGUAGCAAUUCUUUCCAGGUGCUUCUCACUUCUUCUACAAUGUAUGAAACAGAGAAUAAGAAUUCCCAAGCAGAUCAAUAAAAGAGAGGUAUACAAUGCUUUUAAUGAUGGUAGUGGAUUUUUCCAGAUGUUAUUCUAAACACACUGACCAUCAUUUGCUGUGAUCCACUGCAGGAAGC